rnacentral:rRNA from 2 species
AAUCCACACGACUCUCGGCAACGGAUAUCUCGGCUCUCGCAUCGAUGAAGAACGUAGCGAAAUGCGAUACCUGGUGUGAAUUGCAGAAUCCCGCGAACCAUCGAGUCUUUGAACGCAAGUUGCGCCCGAGGCCACUCGGCCGAGGGUCAGCCUGCCUGGGCGUCACGC